UGCGUAGGCUGAUAUGUUAGUCUUUUGUUAAAGCUCCAGGCACAACUUGGAAAAGGCAAGAGAAACGGCAUAUCUAGAGGAUGUGAGAGGUAAGCGGAACUCAUGGUGUAGGGGUGAAGUCCGUUGAUAUCAUGAGGAACACCAAAAGCGAAGGCAGCUUACUAGCACACUCCUGACGCUGAGGCACGAAAGCGUGGGUAGCGAAUG
rnacentral:rRNA from 1 species